CAUUGCGGCAGCUACACAUGCAAGUCGAGCGGUAGCACAGAGAGCUUGCUCUCGGGUGACGAGCGGCGGACGGGUGAGUAAUGUCUGGGAAACUGCCUGAUGGAGGGGGAUAACUACUGGAAACGGUAGCUAAUACCGCAUAACGUCGCAAGACCAAAGUGGGGGACCUUCGGGCCUCAUGCCAUCAGAUGUGCCCAGAUGGGAUUAGCUAGUAGGUGGGGUAACGGCUCACCUAGGCGACGAUCCCUAGCUGGUCUGAGAGGAUGACCAGCCACACUGGAACUGAGACACGGUCCAGACUCCUACGGGAGGCAGCAGUGGGGAAUAUUGCACAAUGGGCGCAAGCCUGAUGCAGCCAUGCCGCGUGUGUGAAGAAGGCCUUCGGGUUGUAAAGCACUUUCAGCGGGGAGGAAGGCGGUGAGGUUAAUAACCUUGGCGAUUGACGUUACCCGCAGAAGAAGCACCGGCUAACUCCGUGCCAGCAGCCGCGGUAAUACGGAGGGUGCAAGCGUUAAUCGGAAUUACUGGGCGUAAAGCGCACGCAGGCGGUCUGUCAAGUCGGAUGUGAAAUCCCCGGGCUCAACCUGGGAACUGCAUUCGAAACUGGCAGGCUAGAGUCUUGUAGAGGGGGGUAGAAUUCCAGGUGUAGCGGUGAAAUGCGUAGAGAUCUGGAGGAAUACCGGUGGCGAAGGCGGCCCCCUGGACAAAGACUGACGCUCAGGUGCGAAAGCGUGGGGAGCAAACAGGAUUAGAUACCCUGGUAGUCCACGCCGUAAACGAUGUCGAUUUGGAGGUUGUGCCCUUGAGGCGUGGCUUCCGGAGCUAACGCGUUAAAUCGACCGCCUGGGGAGUACGGCCGCAAGGUUAAAACUCAAAUGAAUUGACGGGGGCCCGCACAAGCGGUGGAGCAUGUGGUUUAAUUCGAUGCAACGCGAAGAACCUUACCUGGUCUUGACAUCCACAGAACUUUCCAGAGAUGGAUUGGUGCCUUCGGGAACUGUGAGACAGGUGCUGCAUGGCUGUCGUCAGCUCGUGUUGUGAAAUGUUGGGUUAAGUCCCGCAACGAGCGCAACCCUUAUCCUUUGUUGCCAGCGGUUCGGCCGGGAACUCAAAGGAGACUGCCAGUGAUAAACUGGAGGAAGGUGGGGAUGACGUCAAGUCAUCAUGGCCCUUACGACCAGGGCUACACACGUGCUACAAUGGCAUAUACAAAGAGAAGCGACCUCGCGAGAGCAAGCGGACCUCAUAAAGUAUGUCGUAGUCCGGAUUGGAGUCUGCAACUCGACUCCAUGAAGUCGGAAUCGCUAGUAAUCGUAGAUCAGAAUGCUACGGUGAAUACGUUCCCGGGCCUUGUACACACCGCCCGUCACACCAUGGGAGUGGGUUGCAAAAGAAGUAGGUAGCUUAACCUUCGGGAGGGCGCUUACCACUUGGAUCCGUGG
rnacentral:rRNA from 1 species